ACUUUGAAUGUGAGUGAUCCCUGUGGUCCCCUGGGUAGUUCAAUUGAGGAACCGUACAUGGAUGUGUUUGAAGCCCCCUGUACCAAGGGCUCAUCAACUCCACCAAUAUCCAAGAACCAGACUUUCACAUUCCAUGGGACAGGUAACUCCACCCAGUGUGCUCUGACCGUGCACCAGUUGUUCCAAUUCGACCAGCCCUGUCCAUACACCAACUGUUCCUUUGAUGGAGUCUACCAACCCAAACUCCACGGAGAGUACUAUGCGUUCUCCAACUUUUUCUUUGAGAUGGACUUCCUGGACACAACCCGUUCCAACAAUCUCUCCCAGUUUCAGUCAGCUCUGUCCGAUGUGUGUCACAUGACCUGGGAACAGCUAAAAGAGAAGUAUGUCAACACUUCGACCAAGUUCCUCCCGUGGUACUGCUUCCGAGGGACCUACAUGGAGAUGCUACUCCUGGACGCCUACAAGUUUGAUGAUAACUCGUGGAAAAAUCUCCACUUUAUCGAUGUGGUAAACGGCACAGAGAUUGGCUGGAGCCUGGGAUUUAUGAUCGACUCCAGCUCAGAGCUACCACAGAGUAAGAGAGAAUACUAUAUGACCAACCUCGCCUUUGCUUUGAUGAUGACCCUCUUCAUCCUCUUCAUCCUCAUCUCAGUGGGCUUCGCUUGUCAUGCUGUCAAGUUCCAACAAAGAAAACAAAAAGGGAAGUUAUAUCAGACUGCCCCAAAAUCAGAUGGAUAUGGCGCAAUCCAAUGAACGUCCAAGUUCAGAACAGAGAAUGUCCAGUGAGAUGUCUCCUCCAAAUUCAGACAUUUUUGUGAAAUAAUGUUCAGUGAAAUACUGAUUACCUCCAGAAGUUGUAUUUGCCAAAAAUUAAAUCUGUUAAAAUUAUAUUACUCGAAACCAGAUACCAGUGAAUAAUGAAUCAGUACAUAACAUGGUGCAGCAGUUUGUUUACAAUGUGUAAUAUUAAUGGUUGUAUUGAGAGAGAGAGAGAGAGAGAGAGAGAGAGAGAGAGAGAGAGAUUUGGCUUUAUAAGGAAAUGUGUAUUAGGAGUGUAAUAUUUUCAUUUACAUGUUAAUUAUAUUUAUAUAAAUCUGCAGCAUGUAAAAAGGUUUUUUCUCUAUUAAAUAAUGUUUGAUUUUC
rnacentral:misc_RNA from 1 species